GAAAUUAAAUUCUAUUCCUUAUUUUGUUUCUGAUUUCCUGCAUGAUCUUUGCCAGGUGGCCUAACUUCCAAACUGAGAAGACUCUUCCAUGAACCUGUCUGCAAAAAGAGGUCCAGUAGGAAAAAGACUUUUUCUUCCAUUUGGCGCUCAGGCUUAUUGUGAGAGAGAGAGAGACGAUGCUGUUCAAUGUCUCAGACUCUAUUGGUCCAGGGCUUCAAAAAUGGGGCCACAGGGAGGACGAUAUUUUUUAACAAACAGGAAAAUGUGGUCAGAGACCUGGCAAUAGGACCUGGGGGCAGCUACAGGUUACAGAACAGUGUUGUAUUGCAUUUGGAUGAAUAUAACCAAGAUUAGACUACAUCCUGUCUUCUUUCUAAAUAAUAUGCAGUCUGUGUAAAGUGUAUGCUUAGCAGUUGUCCUUUUGACUGGUGUCUAUUCCUGUUUGCUGAGGUCACAAGCAGCUCUGGAAACUGAGUUUCCUUGAUUCAGUGGUUUAAUUAUGAAUAUAGUUGUUAAAUGUUAAGCAAAUAGGUUUCAGAAUGUUUGACUAGGAGGCUUCAUUUCCUGUUCCCUUCUGUAAAACUGAAAUCAAUUAAGAAAUGACUUCAUAGAAGUAUCACAGGAUGACGCUCAGUGUUAAUGCAUUUCAGAUCCUAGGACAGAAGGUUCAAAGAAACAAAGAUUGUUAAUAAAUGUAUUUAAAACAUAAAGCCUAAAAGCUGCUGGGAAGAAAUUUUACCAUGUGUCACAUGCAAUGCCUUUCUCUGCAUUUCAGGGAGGAAAUGCAGAAUAAGAUCUGAAUUGACAGAUUUACAGUUUUUUUUUUUUAUUACAAGUGUCUGAAAUUUGUAUUCUCUGCAACUGUUAUAGUAUUCUAGGAAGGUGAGCCAUAGUGAUAACUCAGACAAAUGGCUGAACUGCUCACAACAGAACAACUUUUGUCACAGUAAGAAGGGCCUUACAGUUAUGACAUGGGACAGGUUCUGUGGACUCUAUUCCUGGCUAUGCCGCAUGCAUCCUCUUUGGCCAAGGGAAGUCAUUUGACCUCACCCUGCCUCAGUCCUGAGAUAGCUUCAAAAGAGAUCAAAACUUGCUGUGCCAGGCUCACACUUGCAGAAAGAGUGGAAAACAUGAAGUCACAGCUGCAAAGAAUCCAGAAGAAAUUUUAUGGAGACAAUUUCUCAUGGAAAAGGAGGGCUUUUUUUCCUCCCUAGGAAGAGCAAGUCACAGCAUUUCAAAGACAUUCUUUUCUGCCAGAAUCCUCUACCUACUUCUUCUUCUUUUAAAUUGAAAAGGACUUUUGCACUGAUGAACAAUUACCAAACUUGCACUGUAUGACCUGCACAUGCAAUGCAUCUGUGAGCAAAAAAAUAAAGAAUAGGAUUUUGAAGACAAACUUCCAUUUAA